GACGGCCGUACCAUGCUGAAUAUACCGGUUCUCGUUAGAUCACCGAAGUCAAGCAUCAUUGGGCGCGGUCAGUACUUGGGUGGAUACCUGGGAACACCGCGUGCCGUU